GCCCUCUUAGCUCAGUUGGUAGAGCACCUCCAUGGUAAGGAGGGGGUCGACGGUUCGAGUCCGUCAGAUGGCU
rnacentral:tRNA from 1 species